rnacentral:lncRNA from 1 species
GACAGAUUUAAGAUUCAAGAAAGAGGGGUCGGCUGCCUCCAAUCCUGAGGUCAUCACUCAUCAAGAGGGGAUAAUCCCAGGGACAGCAGGAUCUGCUUCGUUACUUGGAUUUAGGAGCCAGAAACCCAUCAGGCAACUAAACAGUAACAAUGACCCGCCAUUAAACACACUGAGAGAAGAGCAUGAUGAAGAGUUUGUACAAGAAGAAGCCAGGAGCACUUGCUGACAAUGCUUACAGAGACGCAGGCUUCUAUGAGCUCUGCCUGUUGAACUGCAGUAAAAAUAGAUCUCCUUCCCCAGAGAGGCUUGGAUGUGGGCACAAUAUCAGUUCAGACGAUGGUCAAUGCAUGUACUUAAUAGAGUGAAAAGACUUUGGACUGUGAAGUCAGAUUACCUGGGUCUGAAUUGUUAUUCUUCUACUUCUUUGUAGUAUGCUUUCACCACAUUAAAAAUUGUCUGAGCCUCAAUUUUUUUAUCUGCAAAAUGGAGCUAAUACCUACACAGGGGCUUUUAAGAGAAUCAAAUGCAACAAUGUUUGAAAAGCAACAUACUCCCCUUUAUGGAAAAAGAGCCUGUAAAGGAACCAAUACAAUGGCUGGGCGUGGUGACUCACA